rnacentral:rRNA from 1 species
AUUGAACGCUGGCGGCAGGCCUAACACAUGCAAGUCGAGCGGAUGAAGGGAGCUUGCUCCUGGAUUCAGCGGCGGACGGGUGAGUAAUGCCUAGGAAUCUGCCUGGUAGUGGGGGAUAACGUCCGGAAACGGGCGCUAAUACCGCAUACGUCCUGAGGGAGAAAGUGGGGGAUCUUCGGACCUCACGCUAUCAGAUGAGCCUAGGUCGGAUUAGCUAGUUGGUGGGGUAAAGGCCUACCAAGGCGACGAUCCGUAACUGGUCUGAGAGGAUGAUCAGUCAAACUGGAACUGAGACACGGUCCAGACUCCUACGGGAGGCAGCAGUGGGGAAUAUUGGACAAUGGGCAAAAGCCUGAUCCAGCCAUGCCGCGUGUGUGAAGAAGGUCUUCGGAUUGUAAAGCACUUUAAGUUGGGAGGAAGGGCAGUAAGUUAAUACCUUGCUGUUUUGACGUUACCAACAGAAUAAGCACCGGCUAACUUCGUG